AGCGAACGCUGGCGGCAGGCCUAACACAUGCAAGUCGAACGGAUCCUUCGGGAUUAGUGGCGGACGGGUGAGUAACACGUGGGAACGUGCCCUUUGGUUCGGAACAACUCAGGGAAACUUGAGCUAAUACCGGAUGUGCCCUUCGGGGGAAAGAUUUAUCGCCAUUGGAGCGGCCCGCGUCUGAUUAGCUAGUUGGUGAGGUAACGGCCCAUCAAGGCGACGAUCAGUAGCUGGUCUGAGAGGAUGAUCAGCCACACUGGGACUGAGACACGGCCCAGACUCCUACGGGAGGCAGCAGUGGGGAAUCUUGCGCAAUGGGCGAAAGCCUGACGCAGCCAUGCCGCGUGAAUGAUGAAGGUCUUAGGAUUGUAAAAUUCUUUCAGCGGGGACGAUAAUGACGGUACCCGCAGAAGAAGCUCCGGCUAACUUCGUG
rnacentral:rRNA from 1 species